CCCUUAGAUGUCCUGGGCUGCACGCGCGCUACACUGAUGUGUCCAGUAAGCACCUAACCUCUUCCGAAAGGAACGGGUAACCUUUGCAAAGCACAUCGUGAUGGGGAUAGAUUAUUGCAAUUAUUAGUCUUGAACGAGGAAUUCCUAGUAAGCACAAGUCAUCAGCUUGUGUUGAUUACGUCCCUGCCCUUUGUACACACCGCCCGUCGCUCCUACCGAUUGAAUGUUCCGGUGAGCUCUUCGGACCGCGCGGUCUGCAGUUUCUGCGUUCCGUGCGGAAAGUUGCGCAAACCUUAACAUUUAGAGGAAGGAGAAGUCGUAACA
rnacentral:rRNA from 1 species